rnacentral:rRNA from 1 species
UUAGAGUUUGAUCCUGGCUCAGGAUGAACGCUAGCGAUAGGCCUAACACAUGCAAGUCGAGGGGCAUCACAUGAGGUAGCAAUACCGAUGGUGGCGACCGGCGCACGGGUGAGUAACACGUAUGCAACCUGCCUUCAACAAGGGGAUAACCCGUUGAAAGACGGACUAAUACCCUAUAACACAGGGCUCCCGCAUGGGAAUAUUUGUUAAAGAUUUAUCGGUUGAAGAUGGGCAUGCGUUCCAUUAGUUAGUUGGGGGGGUAACGGCCCACCAAGGCAACGAUGGAUAGGGGAACUGAGAGGUUUAUCCCCCACACUGGUACUGAGACACGGACCAGACUCCUACGGGAGGCAGCAGUGAGGAAUAUUGGUCAAUGGACGCAAGUCUGAACCAGCCACGUCGCGUGAAGGAAGACGGCCCUACGGGUUGUAAACUUCUUUUGUAAGGGAAUAAAGUGAGUCACGUGUGGCUUUUUGCAUGUACCUUACGAAUAAGGAUCGGCUAACUCCGUGCCAGCAGCCGCGGUAAUACGGAGGAUCCGAGCGUUAUCCGGAUUUAUUGGGUUUAAAGGGUGCGUAGGCGGAAAUGUAAGUCAGUGGUGAAAUCCUGCAGCUUAACUGUAGAAUAGCCGUUGAAACUGUGUUUCUUGAGUACAUUUGAGGUAGGCGGAAUGUGGUGUGUAGCGGUGAAAUGCAUAGAUAUACCACAGAACACCGAUUGCGAAGGCAGCUUACUAAACUGUCACUGACGCUGAUGCACGAAAGCGUGGGUAUCAAACAGGAUUAGAUACCCCGGUAGUCCACGCCGUAAACGAUGAUUACUGGUUGUUUGCGAUACACUGCAAGUGACUGAGCGAAAGCAUUAAGUGAUCCACCUGGGGAGUACGAUCGCAAGGUUGAAACUCAAAGGAAUAGACGGGGGCCCGCACAAGCGGAGGAGCAUGUGGUUUAAUUCGAUGAUACGCGAGGAGCCUUACCUGGGCUAGAACGCAGAACGACGUUUCGGGAAACCGGAAUUCUCUUCGGAGCGAUCUGCGAGGUGCUGCAUGGUUGUCGUCAGCUCGUGCCGUGAGGUGUCGGGUUAAGUCCCAUAACGAGCGCAACCCCUAUUCUUAGUUGCCAUCAGGUAAUGCUGGGGACUCUAAGAAAACUGCCUACGCAAGUAGUGAGGAAGGUGGGGAGGACGUCAAAUCAGCACGGCCCUUAUGUCCAGGGCUACACACGUGCUACAAUGGCCGGUACAGAGGGCAGCCACCUGGUGACAGGGAGCAAAUCUCCAAAGCCGGUCUCAGUUCGGAUCGAAGUCUGCAACUCGACUUCGUGAAGUUGGAUUCGCUAGUAAUCGUAUAUCAGCAACGAUACGGCGAAAAAGGUCCCGGGCCUCGUACUCUCCGCCCGUCA